rnacentral:lncRNA from 1 species
GGCAGACCCACCACUGACCUCCAUCCCUCCGCAUCCAGCAGGGUGUCCGCUGUGCUCCUGAUCCAGUGAGGCGCCCGUUGCCACUCCCGAUUGGGCUAAGGGCUUGCCAAUGUUCCUGCAUGGCUAAGUGCCUGGGUUCGUCCUAAUCGAGCUGAACACUAGUCACUGGGUUCCAUGGUUCUCUUCCAUGACCCACAACUUCUAAUAGAGCUAUAACAAGCACUGCAUGGCCCAAGAUUCCAUUCCUUGGAAUCCGUGAGGCCAAGAACCCCAGGUCAGAGAACACGAGGCUUGCCACCAUCUUGGAAGUGGCCCACCGCCAUUUUGGAAGUGGCCAACCACCAUCUUGGGAGCUCUGGGAGCAAGGACCCCUGGUAACAUUUUGGCGACCACGAAGGGACAUCCCAAGUGAUGGAGAGAGAGACAAAGAGGGAGUCAAGGAGAAAAAGAAAGGAAAAGAUAGAAAUAGUUAAAAAAAAAAAAAGUGUGCGUAUUC